GUUCAUUCUGAAGCUAAUCGGAUGUGUGAGAUCAGUUGAAGUAAAAAAAUGAGCUAUGUUUUUUACAGUAUUUUGUGUCUAGGAAUGGUUGUGGGAAUGUAUUUAUCACAAGAGGUAGGUAAUACACCAAGUAACAACCUGAGCCACGGUGAUGAAAACCACAGUGGAGAAUAUGAAGACUAUGAUGACACGCAGGAGCCACAAUCAGCUAAUGAUUGCUACACUGAAAAAAUAUCCUGUACUAAAGAAAUGAACUUAGAAUUCCCAAAACCAGUAUGCGUUUAUAAAAAGAAAAUGGGUUUGACCAACUAUGUGGGAUUGUGUGAUAUAAAACUUCGAUUAUGUCUUAAUAAGCAAAUGGAACAAAAAGGUUUAGUUGUAGUCGAUGAAAUAUAUCACAAUGGAAAAUCUUAUGAUUGCCACUACUAUUUAAACAACGCAAAGUCUGAAAUACAAGCUGUAAAUUGGUAUUUCAUGAUGGGAGGCCGUGAUACCCGAAACGAAAACAUUACAGCACCUAUUAUUAAUAAACCGUGAUAAUUUCAAAUAAAGUAUUUUUUUCGCAUUUGUGUUACAAAUAAAUAAUUUGACUAAUA